GAUGAACGCUAGCGGCAGGCCUAACACAUGCAAGUCGAGGGGCAGCACGAUAAAGCUUGCUUUAUUGGUGGCGACCGGCGCACGGGUGCGUAACGCGUAUGCAACCUACCCUGUACUGGGGGGAUAACCCGGAGAAAUUCGGACUAACACCCCAUAGUAAUAUACUUUCGCAUGUUAGUAUAUUUAAAGGUUACGGUACAGGAUGGGCAUGCGUCCUAUUAGCUAGAUGGUGAGGUAACGGCUCACCAUGGCGAUGAUAGGUAGGGGGCCGUGAGAGGGUGGUCCCCCACACUGGUACUGAGACACGGACCAGACUCCUACGGGAGGCAGCAGUGAGGAAUAUUGGUCAAUGGGCGCAAGCCUGAACCAGCCAUGCCGCGUGCAGGAAGAAUGCCCUAUGGGUUGUAAACUG
rnacentral:rRNA from 1 species